UGAAGUCUGUGGUGAUGCAGAGCCAGGAGAGGAAGAUUUGGAAGAGGAAGAAGUGGAGUUUGUGGAUGUAUCACUGAUUCUAAAUGAGGAUGACGGCUCAGAAUUUGAGCUCUCAAAUCACCUAUGUGUGCUUGUCAUCUGCUCAACUUGGUCUCUGCAGUUGAUGCUGCAAAAGCAACUGUCAACGAUACAGACAUAAAAGUGUAUCGUUCAACAUUCAGCAAGUGUCAUGCACUGUGGGAAAAUGAAAAUGUGGGAAAUCUACUAUAGCAGCUGAAGCUGUGGAAGACUCCUUCUCCAUUCAGCUGCUACGGCCAAAUGCCACCCAGUGGAACUCAUUGUUCAUGAUUGUGGAAAGGCUGCUCAGGACAAUGAAAGACAAGGGAGAGGCGGCCAUGAGAGCUGUCUGCACAGACCUAAAGACAAACAUGUAUUGGGUGGUCAGAGGUUUUCAGAGGUCAUUGACAAAACCAUGGAUGAGGAAAAGCCUAUCCUGGAGGUGGUGAGCCAUUGAGGUGAGACCUAGGGAGUCAGCCAAGAAACUCAAGCAAGUGCAGGAUGAGAAAGAAGACAAGAGAAGGAGGUUUCUCUAAACAGGGUGUUGUGUUCAUGAAGUGAAGGAAUUGUGCUGCCAAGGGCCUGGGACCAGCCCAUGCAUCAACGAAGAGAGAGCUAAGUCUAAACCAUGGCUCCAGCCCACCUAUUUGACCAAUGGAAGUUAUUCACCUUAUCUAUCUGUUUAAACCAAUGAGAAAUUAUACAUAU